GGAGAACGCUGGCGGCAUGCCUAAUACAUGCAAGUCGAACGCUGAAACACUCUGCUUGCAGAGUGUGGAUGAGUGGCGAACGGGUGAGUAACACGUGGGGAAUCUGCCUAUAAGUGGGGGAUAACAUUCGGAAACGGAUGCUAAUACCGCAUAUAUUCAAAAACCGCAUGGUUUCUGAAAGAAAGACGGCUUUGCUGUCGCUUAUAGAUGAUCCCGCGGCGUAUUAGUUAGUUGGUGGGGUAAUGGCCUACCAAGACCAUGAUACGUAGCCGACCUGAGAGGGUGAUCGGCCACACUGGGACUGAGACACGGCCCAGACUCCUACGGGAGGCAGCAGUAGGGAAUCUUCCACAAUGGGUGCAAACCUGAUGGAGCAAUGCCGCGUGAAUGAAGAAGGUCUUCGGAUCGUAAAGUUCUGUUAUUAGAGAAGAACAAGUCAAGGAGUAACUGUCUUGACUUUGACGGUACCUAACCAGAAAGUCACGGCUAACUACGUGCCAGCCGCCGC
rnacentral:rRNA from 1 species